rnacentral:tRNA from 2 species
GUGCUGGUAGCUCAGCUGGAUAGAGCAACUGCCUUCUAAGCAGUAGGUCGUGGGUCCGAAUCCCACCCAGCAUA